rnacentral:rRNA from 1 species
UGGGGAAUAUUGCACAAUGGGGGAAACCCUGAUGCAGCGACGCCGCGUGAACGAAGAAGGUAUUCGUAUCGUAAAGUUCUGUCCUAUGGGAAGAUAAUGACAGUACCAUAGAAGAAAGCUCCGGCUAAAUACGUGCCAGCAGCCGCGGUAAUACGUAUGGAGCGAGCGUUGUCCGGAAUUAUUGGGCGUAAAGGGUACGCAGGCGGUUUAAUAAGUCGAAUGUUAAAGAUCGGGGCUCAACCCCGUAAAGCAUUGGAAACUGAUAAACUUGAGUAGUGGAGAGGAAAGUGGAAUUCCUAGUGUAGUGGUGAAAUACGUAGAUAUUAGGAGGAAUACCAGUAGCGAAGGCGACUUUCUGGACACAAACUGACGCUGAGGUACGAAAGCGUUGGGAGCAAACAGG